rnacentral:rRNA from 1 species
UACGAAGGGGGCUAGCGUUGUUCGGAUUUACUGGGCGUAAAGCGCACGUAGGCGGAUCGUUAAGUCGGGGGUGAAAUCCUGGAGCUCAACUCCAGAACUGCCUUCGAUACUGGCGAUCUUGAGUCCGGAAGAGGUGAGUGGAACUCCUAGUGUAGAGGUAGAAUUCGUAGAUAUUAGGAAGAACACCAGUGGCGAAGGCGGCUCACUGGUCCGGUACUGACGCUGAGGUGCGAAAGCGUGGGAGCAAACAGGG